AAUAAUCAUAUGAACUGAAAUACUAAUGAGGUCACAAUUUAUAUAUGAUGAAUACUAGGUCCAUCAGAUAAGACAUCAGGCUAAGCAAAUUAACCUUAGGCAGCAGCCAAAGCCUAUAUCUUAUUUUAGGUUAAAGCUAGUUAGACAUCUAUAUAAUAUAAUUUGACUGGUGAGAAUUUUGCAGUUUCCACAAAACAAACCUUACUUAAAUAACAUAUCAUCGAC
rnacentral:lncRNA from 1 species